rnacentral:rRNA from 1 species
GAUGAACGCUAGCUACAGGCUUAACACAUGCAAGUCGAGGGGAAACGAUAGAGAAAGCUUGCUUUUUCUAGGCGUCGACCGGCGCACGGGUGAGUAACGCGUAUCCAACCUGCCCACCACUUGGGGAUAACCUUGCGAAAGUAAGACUAAUACCCAAUGACGUCUCUAGAAGACAUCUGAAAGGGAUUAAAGAUUUAUCGGUGAUGGAUGGGGAUGCGUCUGAUUAGCUUGUUGGCGGGGUAACGGCCCACCAAGGCAACGAUCAGUAGGGGUUCUGAGAGGAAGGUCCCCCCACAUUGGAACUGAGACACGGUCCAAACUCCUACGGGAGGCAGCAGUGAGGAAUAUUGGUCAAUGGGCGAGAGCCUGAACCAGCCAAGUAGCGUGCAGGAUGACGGCCCUACGGGGUUGUAAACUGCUUUUGCGGGAGAAUAAAGUCGGCCACGCGUGGCCAUUUGCAGGUACCCCGUGAAUAAGGACCGGCUAAUUCCGUG